GAUGAACGCUGGCGGCGUGCUUAACACAUGCAAGUCGAACGGAAAGGCUCCUGCUUGCAGGGGUACUCGAGUGGCGAACGGGUGAGUAACACGUGGGUGAUCUGCCCUGCACUUCGGGAUAAGCCUGGGAAACUGGGUCUAAUACCGGAUAGGACGAUGGUUUGGAUGCCAUUGUGGAAAGUUUUUCGGUGUGGGAUGAGCUCGCGGCCUAUCAGCUUGUUGGUGGGGUAAUGGCCUACCAAGGCGUCGACGGGUAGCCGGCCUGAGAGGGUGUACGGCCACAUUGGGACUGAGAUACGGCCCAGACUCCUACGGGAGGCAGCAGUAGGGAAUAUUGCACAAUGGGCGCAAGCCUGAUGCAGCGACGCCGCGUGGGGGAUGACGGCCUUCGGGUUGUAAACUCCUUUCGCUAGGGACGAAGCGCAAGUGACGGUACCUGGAGAAGAAGCACCGGCUAACUACGUG
rnacentral:rRNA from 1 species